CGGGACGGGUGAGUAACGCGUGGGUAACCUGCCUUGUACUGGGGACAACAGUUAGAAAUGACUGCUAAUACCGCAUAAGCGCACAGUAGUCGCAUGAUACAGUGUGAAAAAACUCCGGUGGUACAAGAUGGACCCGCGUCUGAUUAGCUAGUUGGUAAGGUAACGGCUUACCAAGGCGACGAUCAGUAGCCGACCUGAGAGGGUGACCGGCCACAUUGAGACUGAGACACGGCCCAA
rnacentral:rRNA from 1 species